GCAUUAAUGGGGUAGUGGUAACCUGGGUCGUUGCCAUGGAGUAAUAACUUGAUUCCUCGACCCGCCGGGGGUUCGAUUCCCCCUUAAUGCA